ACAAAUGACCUAUUUUGGAUCAAAAACGGCGAAUUUCGCCGAAAGGUGACGAGUUUGCACCCCUGUAAACAUGGCUUCAUUUGCAAAGGUGGUUGUGUGUGUCCUCAUUGCUUGUGUCUGUAAUGCAUUCUGUUUUCCGAAGAGAGAUGUGAACUUUAAGGCCUCUGCAGUUGACCGCCAAAGUGAUGAUGUGGUUGUCACCACAACACCCGUUCCCCACAACCAGACCACAUCUGCCCAUACUGAAGCUGGUGAUGGAGCAAGUGAAGAUGCUGUGGAUACCACCCCAACACCAAAUCCCCCAACUACAUCUGACCACACUGCAGCUACCGAUGAUGCAAGUGAGGGUGCUGUGGCUGCCCAAACUGGAACUACUGUAUCCCAUACGACUGAAGUCUGAUUCGACUGCUCCUCUGGUCACAAAGUACCUGAGUCACUGUCUGGACUUUUUGCCUCUACAUGUUGACUGCAAUAAAGGACAGUUUUGUUUUUUGAAUCAAAUGUUGUCUUGCCUUUUUCAAAUUGAGGCCUUGUCCUGUUUUGGUGGUGGAGAUGACUAUGAAGCCUCUUUCCUAACGUAUUUCCUGUAUUGGUUUUACUAUAUGCUUCAUGCAACAAGGCCUUUAACG
rnacentral:lncRNA from 1 species